UUACGGCCACAUCACAUCGAAACACUGGUUCCUGUAUGAUCACUGAAGUUAAGCAACGUUGAACCUAGUCAGUACUUCGAUGGGUGACCAAUUGGAAAUACCAGGUGCUGUAAG